rnacentral:rRNA from 1 species
UACGUAGGGUGCAAGCGUUAAUCGGAAUUACUGGGCGUAAAGGGUGCGUAGGUGGUGCUGUAAGUCAGGUGUGAAAUCUCGGGGCUCAACCCCGAAACUGCACUUGAUACUGCGGUGCUUGAGGACUGGAGAGGAGAUCGGAAUUCAUGGUGUAGCAGUGAAAUGCGUAGAUAUCAUGAGGAAGACCAGUGGCGAAGGCGGAUCUCUGGACAGUUCCUGACACUGAGGCACGAAGGCCAGGGGAGCAAACGGG